rnacentral:rRNA from 1 species
UACGAAGGGGGCUAGCGUUGCUCGGAAUCACUGGGCGUAAAGGGUGCGUAGGCGGGUCUUUAAGUCAGGGGUGAAAUCCUGGAGCUCAACUCCAGAACUGCCUUUGAUACUGAAGAUCUUGAGUUCGGGAGAGGUGAGUGGAACUGCGAGUGUAGAGGUGAAAUUCGUAGAUAUUCGCAAGAACACCAGUGGCGAAGGCGGCUCACUGGCCCGAUGCUGACGCUGAGGCACGAAAGCGUGGGGAGCAAACAGG